AUUGAACGCUGGCGGCAGGCCUAACACAUGCAAGUCGGGCGGGGUUUUCGGACCUAGCGGCGGACGGGUGAGUAAUGCGUAGGAAGCUGCCCGAUAGAGGGGAUACCAGUUGGAAACGACUGUUAAUACCGCAUAAUGUCUACGGACCAAAGUGUGGGACCUUCGGGCCACAUGCUAUCGGAUGCGCCUACGUGGGAUUA
rnacentral:rRNA from 1 species